UCCGUGGUAACACCACGGCAGUCCCCCAUGACACAAGUAACAUGGGGCAAGGGUUGCGCUCGUUGCGGGACUUAACCCAACAUCUCACGACACGAGCUGACGACAACCAUGCACCACCUGUAAACCGACCGCAAGCGGGGCACCUGUCUCCAGGCGUUACCGGUUCAUGUCAAACGCUGGUAAGGUUCUGCGCGUUGCUUCGAAUUAAACCACAUGCUCCACCGCUUGUGCAGGCCCCCGUCAAUUCCUUUGAGUUUUAGCCUUGCGGCCGUACUCCCCAGGCGGGGCACUUAAUGCGUUAGCUACGGCGCGGAAAACGUGGAAUGUCCCCCACACCUAGUGCCCAACGUUUACGGCAUGGACUAC
rnacentral:misc_RNA from 1 species